UGGAAGACUAGUGAUUUUGUUGUUUCGAUCUAGAAACCAACAGCAAGUCACAGUCUCCCGUC
rnacentral:pre_miRNA from 1 species